GAGAUUUGAACUUCCUCUCCGCCCAGUCUGUGUGAACAGGAAAGUGAAGUUGCCUGGUUGUUUUCCAGUCAGGCCUUGCAACUAGCAGGGGUUCCGGGCAGCCUACAGAGAUGGUGGAAGGGCCAGGAUGUACACUGAAUGGAGAGAAGAUUCGGGCACGAGUGCUACCGGGACAGGCGAUGACUGGUGUGCGGGGAACAGCUCUGCAGGGCCUCUUGGGCUCUGCCUUGUCCCCCGCAGCCUCCCUGGCUGAGGUCACUAGCUCGGCUGCUCCAAUGAACGCUAAAGAUUCUGGCUGGAAAGUCUUGAGACUGUUUAAUGGAUGUGUUUACAGUGGUGUGGAAACCUUGGGGAAGGAGCUGUUUAUGUACUUUGGCCCAAGAGCUUUACGGAUUCAUUUCGGAAUGAAAGGCUCCAUCUUGAUUAACCCGCCUAAGUGUGAAAAUAGAGGUGGAGUUUCUCCAGCUUUUGAAGUGCAGCUCACCAAUGACUUGAUCUGUUUCUUUGACUCUUCAGUAAAACUCAGAAAUUCAGUGGAAAGCCAACAAAGAGUCAGAAUGAUGGAAGGAUUGGAUGUAUGCUCACCAAAGUUCAGUCUCUCAAGAGCAGAAAGUGAAGUUAAGAAGCAGAGAGAUCGGAUGCUGUGUGAUGUGUUACUGGAUCAGAGGGUGUUGCCUGGUGUAGGGAACAUCAUCAAAAAUGAAGCUCUCUUUGACAGUGGACUCCAUCCAACUGUUAAGGUGUGUCAACUAUCAGACAAACAGGCCCAUCACCUUGUGAAGAUGACCCGGGAUUUCAGCAUUCUCUUCUACAGGUGCCGUAAAGCAGGAUCUGCCAUUUCUAAACACUAUAAGGUUUAUAAGCGUCCUAACUGUGCACAGUGCCACUGCAAAAUUAGAGUGUGUCGCUUAGGGGAGAACAGCAGGAUGACGUAUUUCUGUCCUCACUGUCAGAAAGAAAACCCUCAACAUGUUCAAAUAUGCAAACUGCCAACAAGAAUGCUGAAAUCAGCUGGACUCCUAAAGGACAGGAUUGCUUUACCGACUCAGUAGCUCGGAAGUCUGAAGAGCAGUGGUCCUGCAUGGUUUGCACCCUCAUAAACAAACCCUCGGCUACGGCCUGCGAUGCUUGCCUGACGACAAGGCCUGUGGAUUCAGUGCUCAAAAAUGAAGAGAAUUCCAUUGCCUUUAGCAACUUAGUGAAGUACCCUUUUAAUAACUUUGAGAACACACACACUGAAAUAAAGAUCAACAGGAAAACUGUGUUUGGAAAUACAACCCUUGUUUUGACUGAUUUGAGCAACAAAUCUAGUGCUUUGGCCAGAAAAAGCAGCCCAAGCCAGACAAUAGAUGGGGAAUCUCAAAUUUUUCUUCCUACAGACAUAUGUUUCAGUGAUCCACAGCACAUCUCCAAAGAAGGAGUAAACUAUAUAACUCAACCAUCCAACAAGGUAAACAUGUCGUCCACAGUUGGUGCCCAGUCUAAAUUAUUUACUUCAGCACAUAAAAAAUUGAAAACAGCUCACUCUUUGGCAACAGAACUUAAAAGUUACAACUCUGGACUUUCUAACAGUGAACUCCAAACCAAUAUAAGAAGUGAUCCUUGUUCUCUACAUGCCAGCAGGCCUCAGUGCAAGACGCACAGCCGGCCCUGUGUUCUCCGAGUUGUGAGGAAGGAUGGAGAAAACAAAGGAAGGCAGUUUUAUGCAUGUUCUCUGCCCAGAGGAGCACAGUGCGGAUUUUUUGAAUGGGCAGACCUGUCCUUCCCGUUCUGCGGACAUGGCAAGCGCUCCAUUAUGAAAACUGUGUUGAAGAUUGGACCUAAUAAUGGGAAGAAUUUUUUUGUAUGUCCUUUGGAGAAAGAAAAGCAGUGUAAUUUUUUCCAGUGGGCAGAAAGUGGACCAGAAAUGGAAAUUAUUCCAGGAUGCUAAUAUUUUUCUCUUUUUAAAGAAUGACUGCCAUAUAAACUCAUCAACCUCACAAUGUCAGUCCCCUUUGUUUAAUAGAAAGCUCAUAGAAUACCUGUGGAAUAUAUAGUAGUAUUUGAGAUGUACUCUUUGUUUAAAUAUGUGACCUUCACUUUUUUUGUUGUAAUAGUGAACACACUAUUUCACCAGAGGCACAGUUCCAUAAAAUGAAUAUUUAAUAAUGCAUAUUUAGUAAUGAUAUCAAUAAAGUAUUCAAUACGA